UUUUUCAUUUUUAAUAGCUUUUAUUACUGAAAGCAGCAUAAAUUGCUGUAGCUCAGUGUAAGUGCGUCAGAAAAAGAUCAAUUAGAGAGAGAUAGUGAAUGUAUCCUCUCAUAGAAUUUUGAUAAAAUCGCUCUCACAACUCUUAUUAGAGGAUAUCUAUGUAUGUGUAACUCGCCAUGCCAUCUAGUAGCACAAAAGCGCGGAAAGUUAUAAUGAACAGACCUUAUACCGCACCAGUGUUGUGAUCUGACAAAUCUGUAUAGAUUUGUUAGAUGCAUUAAAUAAUUAAGCAUUUAAAUAAUAAAAUGGGUAUGGAAAAUAAAUUAAAUGAUGUUAAAGAACGACCGUAUCGUAUAAAUAAACAUAACGUUUUAACAUAUGAUCAAGAAAAAAACAAUCCUUGUUAUAAGGAACAAAUCUUAUCUUUGAAAUGUUUAGACUCCCAUCAGAAUGAUCGCAAUGUAUGUGAUUUGUACUUUACCAAUUAUAAAAACUGUAGGAGAUUUUGGGCCACUGUGCAGCGUGAACGCAAGUUAAAAAAGAUCGAACCAUAUUUACCACCAAUAGAGGAACGUGCAAAGAUAAAGGCUGAUUACCUAAAUUCUAGAUGAUAUUAAGUUCCAAUCAUUUACAAAGAAAAGAGAAAAAAACGACAAAAAUAAAACAGUUAUUAUACUAUUAGUAUAUUAAUAACGUCCGAGGGACGAUACAUGUUAAAAACGAAGAGGUGCAUUGAUAGCCUAUCGCUCAACGGAUUCUCGGCAGCGUUCAAAGAAAAAAUAACUGCAGCACCCAAAUACAAGAAAAUAAUGAAACUAAAACGAACAGAGCAAGAAGGAAAGAGAAAGAGAGAAAAAGAGAGAAAAGAAUAAAAACGGUGAUAUAUAAUUAUAUGUAUUGCAACAAGACAACGAUCAAGGAGAUUCAGGUAAUUUUGUUCAUCAUGACAACAUAGGAAUUAAUAAAUCAGUUCGUGAUACAAUCAAAGGCUUACAAGGCGAAGAAAAUUUAAGAUGUGAUAUAAUAUAUAAUUACUAUUAGAAAUACGCGAGAUACAUAAACUGGUUCUUGAUUCUAUGAUACAUAUCCAAAGUUUAAAAGCAAAAAUUUAUGUGCUAACUUAUAAUGUUCAUAGAUCGUUAAUGAUUUUAUACGCUAACGACUCGAUAAAUAUUUAAACGUUAUAUCAAAAUUUUUUAUGUUAGAACUUUUUUAUGUUAGAAAAAAAUCUUGUUUUUCUUUUACUUACAUAGUUAAUCAAAUGACUCAAUUACUUCAUAAUUAUAAAAGAUAAAAAAAUUGUCAUAAAUUCUCUAUAUCAGAUAUACAAUAGUAUAUAAUAAUAAAUAAAGUAA